UUUCGGAGAGCAGGUAGUGUAAUGGUUAGCACGCGCCUCCGGAAUGGGUGAGACAUGGAUUCGAAUCCCAUCCGAAAU